UACGUAGGGUGCAAGCGUUGUCCGGAAUUAUUGGGCGUAAAGAGCUCGUAGGCGGUCCGUCACGUCGGCUGUGAAAACCCGGGGCUCAACCCCGGGCCUGCAGUCGAUACGGGCGGACUAGAGUUCGGCAGGGGAGACUGGAAUUCCUGGUGUAGCGGUGAAAUGCGCAGAUAUCAGGAGGAACACCAAUGGCGAAGGCAGCUCGCUGGGACGUGACUGACGCUGAGACGCGAAAGCGUGGGGAGCAAACAGG
rnacentral:rRNA from 1 species